UAGCUGAAAAGCUAGAAAGAGCAUAUAGGGAACCAUUGAUGACAGAGAGACACAUUGUAUUACUCAACAAUUCAAGACAAGUGAAAGUGUGGAGAAAGAUGCAGAGGGUAAAGAUGAAGAGGAGAAAGAAGAAGAAGAAGAAGAGGAAUGUGGUCCUGAGCAUCAAAUGGUGCCGGAUGAAGAAGUGGAAAGGAUAACUAUUGAAGCUUUCACGGGUGUACUAGCUGAAAACAGUCCAAAACCAACCAAGAAAAAGAGGAAACAGGUGGACCCUUCAUCUCCUGUAUAGAAUGUGAAAAAUGAGACAAGAAUAGAGAAGAGGGAGGAAGGUUUCGUCUAUGAAGACCUGAAGAAGGUAAAGAAGAAUAAACAAGAGGAGAUGGAUAAUGUGAUACCAAAAUGGAAAGUUGAAAAAACAAAAUUGAGUAAAUGGCUGGCAAAAGAAGACAAAGCUUUGUUGAAUAUAUUCUAUGACCUAAACCAGGGGCAUGCAAAUGAAGAAGUCUGGACGGACUCUGAAACACGUUAUACCAUAACUUUCAAGUCAAUAAUAAAGCUUUUGGAUGACCUAGACAUGGGGAACGAGGUAAUAGACGGGUACACAUCAAUGCUGAAAAGGGAGCAGGAAGUUAAAUGACCGACGCAUGAAAAUAGUGCGUUCUUCACAUCCAGCUGCUGGAUACUUAUCAAAAUGGCAAAUCAGUCCCCCAAAAAGUACCUCCUUGAUAGCAAACUUGAACAACUCUACGAUGAAUUACAUGAUAAGGGCUUAGAUUACUUUCGGUACCUUGUUUUCCCGAUGAACUCUUCAGGAAAUAAGAUGAACAAAAAAUAGCCCAUUUCAUUGGACUAUGCUUGUUUAUGAUAUGCAAGAGGAUGAAUGGAAGCAUUACAAUUCAUUGAAACAAAGAAAGAAGGAGAA